GAUGAACGCUAGCGGCAGGCUUAACACAUGCAAGUCGAGGGGUAUAGUUCUUCGGAGCUAGAGACCGGCGCACGGGUGCGUAACGCGUAUGCAAUCUACCUUUUGCAGAGGGAUAGCCCAGAGAAAUUUGGAUUAAUACCUCAUGGUAUGUGAGAAUGGCAUCAUUUUCACAUUAAAGUCACAACGGCAAAAGAUGAGCAUGCGUCCCAUUAGCUAGUUGGUAAGGUAACGGCUUAACAAGGCAACGAUGGGUAGGGGUCCUGAGAGGGAGAUCCCCCACACUGGUACUGAGACACGUAGCAGAGUCCUACGGGAGGCAGCAGUAAGGAAUAUUGGACAAUGGGCGCAAGCCUGAUCGAGCCAUGCCGCGUGCAGGAUGACGGUCAUAUGGAUUUUAAACUACUUUUUUACAGGAAGAAACACUGGUUCGUGAACCAGCUUGACGGUACUGUAAGAAUAAGGAUCGGCUAACUCCGUGCCAGCCGCCGCCGUAAUAC
rnacentral:rRNA from 1 species